UACAGAGGUGGCAAGCGUUGUUCGGAAUUACUGGGCGUAAAGGGCGCGUAGGCGGUUCGUUAAGUCCUGUGUGAAAUCCCCCGGCUCAACUGGGGAACUGCACAGGAAACUAGCGGGCUUGAGUUCGGGAGAGGGAAGCGGAAUUCCGGGUGUAGCGGUGAAAUUCGUAGAUAUCAGGAGGAACACCAGCGGCGAAGGCGGCUUUCUGGACGAUAACUGACGCUGAGACGCGAAAGCGUGGGGAGCAAACAGG
rnacentral:rRNA from 1 species